UUUGAUCUGCUAUUUCGGGUGACCUAGUCCCUGUUAGUUCUUGACAGUCCAGGAGGCGCCUGGUAGGUGGAGAAUCUUCCCCUUUCUCCUCCACAAACUUGACCCUUGUGGAGAAGGCAGCCUGGAAUCUGCUGGGUUCUGAAUGUCUCCGCCUUUUCUCCAGCGUGCGUCCCACAGAUUCAUUUAAAUGUUCACUGAGUCCUUCGUCUGUGCUGCACGUUGCUUGCGUGGUGGAAAUAAAUGAGAAGUAGAAGCUGCGCCUGGCCUGAAGGCGCCCUGGGUCACUCUUGGGGAAACAGAGUGCCCACUGUUGAUGCUCACCAAGGUUCCGAGCCUGUGGCUGCAGGAGAAUCACAGUCUCAGCGGCUGCUGCUCCUGAGGGGUGCGCGUGCUGCCCGGUCUGGAGGGUUCGCUGCAAUCGGUGCUACAGCUUUAGGAACUGUGAUUUACUGCGGAUUUAAAACUCUUUAAACAGCCGACUUCCUGCUGAUGGGUCUGAGGGAAGAGUGGCAGGCGCAGUGCUGGCAGUGACUCGGGCAGGGCCUCGGUGCAGAGGCUGGGAGGAGCGCCUGCUUUUCAGGAAAGGAUGCUUCAGGCUCAGCCUCCCGUCCAUGCUCCUCUCCGAUAUCUUGGACCUGGACCCGAGAGAGCCCAGAACCACAGGAGCAGCAGAAGGGCUGGAGCGUCGCACAACAACUGUGGGCCCGCGGUGGCUCUGGAGCCAGUCGGCGUGACUCUGCCAUUAGCUCUGUCCCCUUGCCACGGCCCCCCAGCCUUCCUGAGCUGGCUCUGCAGGCCCCAGCUUCCUGGUGCGGCUCUGAGUUCAGUUUAUGUGGAAAGUGAGCGGCUGACCUCCGACCUGGGCCUCCAUCUGGGGAGCGUGGUCACGUGGAGAUGCUCCCGCGGGGGGAAGAGUCGCUUCCCAGAUGUGAUUUUAAGGAUCAUCGUGAGAAACUAACGGUGGCAAAGUGACCAUUUUUCUGCGGUUGUAAACUGACAAAUGGAAAACAGUCAUCCCUUGAUUAUCUGUGUAAAUCGUCAGGUUUUAUUUCUCUGAGUGCAAUAGGAAGUUUCUUUGUUUUACUUUUCCCUGUCAAGGAGCCAAUUAAAUCAGACUUCCCUGUGCAGGCAGGUCCAGCUGUCAGGGACUUGCUCCAUCAGCCCCUGUCAUCCAUGAAUGGGAAAUUAAUCAGCGCCGUUCGGGAGAAAACUCCCACUCAACACCACGGCCUUUCUUUCCUCCCUGAUUGUGAUUUCAUACCUUUUAUGUAAAGCAGACUUCAGAGCCUCCACCUAUUUAAGGAAUUUUUCAAUUAACAUUUCUUUUCCUCAAGAGAGACCAGAGCCUUUGGUUCUCCACAAAGGCUGGCUUUACUUUUCCUAUCACAAAUGUGCCCAGGUCAGUCCCCGCAGGCUGAGGGCCUAUUAUUUGGCAUUGAUGAUUUUGUUUAACGACCCCCCCUCCCCCUAAUCAAUAGCUGAUCAGUGCACAGCAGGGAGGUCUCUGCUUUAAAUCCACUGCUCUUCAGGCGAAAAUCGUCUCCUUUGAAUAAAAACACGCCUCGGUUGAAUGUUAAACCCAUCUAAUUGGCGGUGUUUUUAAAGAAAGCACAGACAAGAGAUAUCAGGAAAACCACCACAACAAAAUCUGUAAAAGCUUCUUUUACUGUUGGUGGAAUCUUGUGUUUAUUUCCAAAUAGACAUUUUUUAUUGUCACUUUUUUUUGAAUGUUUUGUUAAUUGAUCCUUUAAUGGAGUCAUCGUUUACUUCAAAUAAAAUCCUAUUGUAUUAAAUCUUUUACAGAUUUUAAAAUCUUCUCCCAGAGUCUAAUCAAAUCUGCUAGCAAAGAUUUAAUAAGAGCAGUAUCCAGUCUGACAAGCAAAAUUUAGUGGAGAAUUCAACUAAUUUUGCUGAAAAACUCACUGCUUUACUUUACGGGAACGUCUAACAACUCCGUUCUGUGCUAAGGGUCUUUGGUCAGUCUUGUAUGUUUAAAACCACAGUUAGAACCAGCAGGACAAAGAGCGACUCAACAGGGAGACAGAUGAUCCUGGCCACAAAGCCAGGGAGUUGAGGCAGCGGUCAGGGUGGCCACAGCCUCCCCAGCAGCCCCGCGCGGUCCCGGCGGCCAGAGACGGCCAGUAAGGAGGCUGCUGGCCAUGCACAGACGCUGCUGCCCUGAUUUCAGAGACCGAGAGGACGGGAGAAAAGCAGCAUCUGAUGUUAAAGUGGAGGCAUUUCUUGCAUUCUUGACUUGGUCAGCUUGAUUAUGGAAGCCUAACACAGGGUAAGCCUUCUGCCCGGGAAGCUUGGUGAGUCCGAGUGGUCCUUUGAUACGUGAUUAUUCUCCGCACUUGAAAUAAGUGUGCUAACCUUUUUUUUUGUUCCCUGAAAGGGGCUUGUUUCUGAAGUAAUUUUGGAGUCCACUUAAUAUGCAGGGUAAACAAAUCUGCAAUUCUUUCUUACUUCACUUUGUUUCUGUAGUGCGUGUUGCUGCGAUAUUUGCUUUCGUAAAGCUGCGAUUUCAGCAUGACACAUUAAAAAGGAGGGCAAAGGAUGCUCUUUUUGACAAAAGGAAAUCCACAGAAAAUCAAGAGUCGUUAAUAAAAUAAAGGCCUUUGUGUCUUCC
ensembl:lincRNA